rnacentral:rRNA from 1 species
UACGAAGGGGGCUAGCGUUGCUCGGAAUCACUGGGCGUAAAGGGUGCGUAGGCGGGUCUUUAAGUCAGAGGUGAAAUCCUGGAGCUCAACUCCAGAACUGCCUUUGAUACUGGGAGCCUUGAGUUCGGGAGAGGUGAGUGGAACUGCGAGUGUAGAGGUGAAAUUCGUAGAUAUUCGCAAGAACACCAGUGGCGAAGGCGGCUCACUGGCCCGAUACUGACGCUGAGGUGCGAAAGCGUGGGGAGCAAACAGG